GACAAUCGUUGCUCUGCAACCCACACUUAAGAGAGCAAGAACUGGAACUUUACAUCACAAAUCUUCCCAGCACGCUCUCCUGGCCAAGGCCACAGCCAGGUGCCUUACCUUGGUGCCAGCAGUGGAGUGGCAUGGCCAUUAGGGUAGCAGAAGGAUUUUAAAUCUUGUGUUACCACAACAAGUGGUUUUCUUAGUGUUCGAGGGUACCAUCUUCGAGCACAGAUCCUACUAACAUGACUCUGUUCUCAGUGCCUGUACAGUUCCUUUAUAAAUACUGUGCAUAGCCCAGAUCAGCUGUGUUAAACACUGCUCCCCUUGCAUUGUGACAGAAUACACAGGUUGUGAGACCGAGACCCAAUGCUAAAACCUCUCCCCAGGGAGCUGCGCUUUGGAGAUGGUGGUAGAUAACCAUUGUGAUGCCUGCUCAUUUCCUUCAUAAUUACUUUCAGGUGAUAGCCAGCUUUUAAAUGUGUUGUCUAACAGCAAACUAUGCCGUGGAG
rnacentral:lncRNA from 1 species